rnacentral:rRNA from 1 species
CCUACGGGAGGCAGCAGUGAGGAAUAUUGGUCAAUGGGCGGGAGCCUGAACCAGCCAAGCCGCGUGAAGGAAGAAGGCGCCAAGCGUCGUAAACUUCUUUUGUCGGGGAACAAAGGGCGCCACGUGUGGCGUUGUGAGUACCCGGAGAAAAAGCAUCGGCUAACUCCGUGCCAGCAGCCGCGGUAAUACGGAGGAUGCGAGCGUUAUCCGGAUUUAUUGGGUUUAAAGGGUGCGCAGGCGGACCAUCAAGUCAGCGGUAAAAUCGUGGGGCCCAACCCCAUCCCGCCGUUGAAACUGGCGGGCUU